ensembl:lncRNA
AUGUCUCUUCAAUACUAUCUGAGACUGGCUCUGGUUGGUUUGGCUCUUUCUGUUGUGGGAUGUUUGCCUGAAGUAUCAAUAGGAGAUGUCACGGAUGAUUCAAAGAUCAAAAUACAAGCUCUGGAAAGUUUCAAAAGUGUUAAACCACCCAUUCAAAAUCCAAUAAGAGGCAGUCUUCAAAGCAACACAGAACAGUUUAACAGCAAAUAUCAGCUGCCGUGGAUCAGCUCUGCCUCAUACAACCAGAGAAAUGAUGUCAACUCAGUCUAUUCAGUCCCACAUAAAGUCCAGUCCAAUAUCAGAAAUAAACCUGUUGAAUUAUCAAGCGCCAAAUUUAAUGAUGAAAUUGAUGCCAAAAGAAGCUAUGCUUUCCAAACAGUCCAGCAGGAACAAAAUCCUUUAGACGUUAAAGGGAGCCAAAUUAGCUCUAGUGAUAUUAAUUUGGCCCCAAGGCUGGUGAGGAAAAAAGGUGGAAUGCAUGCCGCAAAUGUGCAUAGAUCAGGCUCAUUUGGACAUCAACAUAUUUCUAAAUCAGAAAUGCACUCAGGCAGUUCACAACCAUUAGGACUCAAUGAACCUUAUUUGAAGGAAAAUAUUCCAACUAAUUAUAUGCCUAGAAGCUCAACAGUGAACCACAAUAUGAGGCACAAAAGUAAUGGAAACAUGCUGCUGGAAAAUUUUCUUCAAAACAAUGGCCAGAAUCAAAACAUGCUGAGGAGAGUUGUACCAGCAAAUACAUCUCCCUCAAUUGUAACAGCAAAUCAGCAAAAGAGCCAACCAUUGCCACAAGCUUUUUCUGCCGGGACUGGAAUCAUUUCUCAAAUUUCCUACGAGAAUAUGAGGGACGUAGCUCUUUCAAAGGUGUUCAAAACGCCAAUCCCAACACCAAUAUCACCUGCAUUUAAGAGAUCAAAUUCAAAUGGAGGUCCUAGCAUCCUUCCAUUAAUAAAAUCUCAGAUGUUUUCUUCUCAGCAGGAUCACAUCAAGCUGUCUAAUUCUGAAAGGGUUGCCAAUCCAAAAGCAAAUCUGCAAAGCAGUUUUGAAUUUGGAAAUACAAAUAGCUACAUGCUCGAGAACAUUCAGUCGACACAAAAUGGUUACCAAAAUGGGGGACAAAGUAGUCAGAAUGUUGUGCCCAUUCAAACCUUUCACAAUCAAAAGAAGUAUGAUAAUCUGGCUACAGGUAUAUCUGCCAUCAGGCCUUCAGUCACCAAUAAUGCCCACUCUUACUUCCUAUCAGAUGAAAACAGUGGCAUCCAGAUGUCUGCACUACUCAAACGGUCAAAAGAAAUCACUGACUUGACCCCACGAAUGCAGUUUGGAAAGAACACAAUGUUAUUUUCAGAACGUGAUACAAAUAUUUAUCUACCAGACCUAACAAAUCAUUCAUUGAGGAAGCCAAGUCAGCAUAAUGCGCAAAAUAGGUCACAUCUGAAUUCCUUCGGCCAAAGUACUGUACAAUCGUUAUCCAUUAAACAUUAUCCUGCGCCAAGUCUUGUGCCAGGUAACACAUUGAAGAGUCAUGUCCACGGCUUUAGUCCAUCUGUGGCUGGGACUCAGGGCGCAUCUAAAAAUUCAGGUACAUCUAGUAGCCGACCAUAUUAUCUAACUUUUAAAAAGCCAUAUGCUUUUAAAGGUUUCACAUUUGUCCCUACAUUGCAGACAUCGCUACAAAAAUCAGAAAUGCACUCUGGCCAAAAGCCCCUCUUAAAGUCUUUAUCUAAUGUGCAAUAUGCCCCUGCUCGUUCGCAUACCGCCCAAAGUGCACUCGCUCAAAAACCCUUGAUGCAUAAGAGCUACAAAAAAAUGCUUUUCCAGUUCAAGGACAUUGAAUCAAGCCAAGAAAAACAACUUUAUUGGGAUCAGACAGAUUCUUUUGAUAAUGGACCUAAACGUGAAACCAUCUCUUCUACUGAAGGUGCAAGUAACCUGAUGUCUGAUGCUCUAAAGCACCAUGCUGUUAGAGGUCAAACUGUAGCAAUGAAAACAUCUCUCAGUGGCACAAAUACUACAAAUAAUGUAGCUGUUGACGAAGUUCAGUCAAAAACAUCUCAGAGGUGGACUUCAAGUAGGCUUACUUCAGCACAGCCCUCUAAAUCUAACAAAGAUGAAUUCCCAACAGGCAGUUUUGUUAGAUCCAACUUAAACAAAGCAUCCAUAAAAUCUAGCAACAGUCAUAACAGUCCCACAUCAGAGCUUAUUCUUCCAAUUCAUAAGUCUUCUCUUAUGAACAAAGUGACUGGGUAUCCUCGAAUACACAAUGCUGCUAUCCAGCCACUUCGCAGGUAUGUUUUGAAGGAACAUGAAGGUGUGUUAAAUCCAACAAAGGAAAUUAAAGACCGAAACUCUGCUGGAAUAACACAGUCAAAUACUACUGAAAAUUAUAGUCCCAUUAGAUUGAGACCGACCAGCAGCUUUGCGAUUGGUAGGCAAGACCACCAGAACAUCUAUGCUAUCUCAACCUCUCAAUCCGCAAUUUAUAGAUCUGCUGGCGAUAAUAGACAGAAAACGGAUGGCUCUACAAAGCUCACUUUCCAGUCACCUAUGCACAGAUCUGCUAUGAAACCUUCUGGCAAAGCUAACAUCCUAAAAGCUAAUGCAGCUUCAGACUGGAGGAACGAAACGUCUCCAAUCUCAGAAGCAGAUAUCAACCUUAGUGCCGUCAGUGUGUCUCAGGCUUUAAGGCCCACAAGCAGCUUUGUAGACAGAAAGUACAUUAAUACAUCUGAUAAAACCUCAACCAAACCCAACCUUAACAUGUCUAUGACAAAAUCAGGCCUAAACAAUUAUAAACCAGUUCAGAUUUCAUAUAUAGCAGGUAGCACCUCCUUCACCGAUGUCAAACCACAUUCUGCUAACACCAAGGCGAAGGAAGAAGUGGAUCUCGAAAGUGAUCAAAACAGCAGUAAUUCAACAUCAGUGAUGGAGGAAAGUUUUAAAGAGCUGGUUUUAGACAGUUCCUCUAUGAUCUCAGCCUUACAAAAUGAAAUGGAUGAAAGCGCAAUGGAUUUACGUGUCCCUGAGCUUAUGCCAACAGCUGCUUAUGAGUCACAGCUGGAGCCUGGGAAUCAUACCACACCUACAGCAGAGGAUAUUGAUCCAUUUUAUGAGGGGACAUUGAUACCCAAUACCACUUUGCAGGACGAAAUGACCUCAAGUUGAGAUCUGCCCGCAUGCAAUCCAAUGGCAGCCGUCCUUAACUGCAAUGUGAGGUGAUUUUCUCUUCUGUAGGUAGAUGGCGCCAGAUCUAUCCUCACAUUAAUUUGCAUUAAAUUUCUGAGUUCUGAGUUUCAUAGUUUGUUCUUUACUUCCCGCUGAUAGUCAUGAUUUUGGAAGAAAAAAUGUGGACGAUAUUAACCAUUUUUUCCCCAAGCAAUAUAUUCAGAUGUCUUAUAUUAAACCGAAUUUGAAAACAGUAAACCUUGCAUCCAAAUAUAACUUUCUGUUAUUGAAUAUAAAUCAUGAAAUUAGUUUACUGAUGUGAGGAUGGGUUCAGACAUGUGAGCACACUUUGUUUCCAUGCCAAUAAUUUUUUCUCUCUCGAUAUAAUAGUCUCCAAAGUCCAUGGAUUUGAAUUGAGUUUUCUUGAAGUAUCACUGACAAACUGUGAUUUUAAUUAUUCAGGCCAAGCUAUUUAAAACUUAAUCACUUAAUUAUUAUUAUGAGCAGACAUUUUAACGAGGCAAGAGGUCUUUCUUUAGGUCAUUCCUGUUGUGCAGUAACUUUUCAACUCUGGAACUCUUAAGAUAAUUAAUAAUGUGUUGUAAAUUAAGCAAGUAUUUCUAUAAAAGUGAAUACCAGACUUGCUCUGGUUAAAAUCAGGGACUUAAGCAUUAUUUAUUAUAAUUUGACUAUUUACACAGUGCCAAGAAAAAGAACAGGACUGAAAUAAGGAUCACCUUAACAAUACCCAAGAGUAAGUUUAACUGACAAUGUCAACUUGGUUAACUGUGAUAUAAAACAGAAUCAAUCAGAAUUUAUUGCUAAAAUGUACUUACAUGUGUGCUGUUGUUUCCCCACCAAAACAAUUUCACUUCCUGUGGUUUGAUGUCAUUGAGAUGUCACUUGAGACUAGUCUUUUUUGUUUAAAGAGAAAUUAAGUACAUAGGUAAAUAGGCUAUAUUCCGUGUGAACAUGUUUUGUUGAAACAUUAAAGAAUAAACAAACUGCAACAUCCGCUCCA